rnacentral:tRNA from 1 species
CAGCGUGUGGGUCAAAGGUUGAUCGCUAGUUUUGGGAACUAGAUUAUGUAGGUUCGAGUCCUAUCAUGCUGACCA